rnacentral:rRNA from 1 species
UACCAGCACCCCGAGUGGUCGGGACGAUAUUGGGCCUAAAGCAUCCGUAGCCGGUCUUGCAAGUCUUCCGUUAAAUCCAGCUGCUUAACAGAUGGGCUGCGGAAGAUACUACAAGACUAGGAGGUGGGAGAGGCAAGCGGUACUCAGUGGGUAGGGGUAAAAUCCGUUGAUCCAUUGAAGACCACCAGUGGCGAAGGCGGCUUGCCAGAACGCACUCGACGGUGAGGGAUGAAAGCUGGGGGAGCAAACCGG